GUGCCAGCAGCCGCGGUAAUACGGAGGGUGCGAGCGUUGUCCGGAUUUAUUGGGUUUAAAGGGUGCGUAGGUGGCCUGUUAAGUCAGUGGUGAAAUACGGUUGCUCAACAAUCGAGGUGCCAUUGAUACUGACCGGCUUGAAAUAAUUGGAGGCUGCCGGAAUGGAUGGUGUAGCGGUGAAAUGCAUAGAUAUCAUCCAGAACACCGAUUGCGAAGGCAGGUGGCUACGAUUGGUUUGACACUGAGGCACGAAAGCAUGGGGAGCAAACAGGAUUAGAUACCCUGGUAGUCC
rnacentral:rRNA from 1 species